rnacentral:rRNA from 1 species
UACGAAGGGGGCAAGCGUUGCUCGGAAUCACUGGGCGUAAAGCGCACGUAGGCGGACUCUUAAGUCGGUGGUGAAAUCCUGGAGCUCAACUCCAGAACUGCCUUCGAUACUGAGAGUCUUGAGUCCGGGAGAGGUGAGUGGAACUGCGAGUGUAGAGGUGAAAUCCGUAGAUAUUCGCAAGAACACCAGUGGCGAAGGCGGCUCACUGGCCCGGUACUGACGCUGAGGUGCGAAAGCGUGGGGAGCAAACAGG